GUUGUCCUGGGGUAAGCAUGUAGGGCGGAACGUAGGUAAAUCCGCGUUCUAUUCAGCCUGAGAUGUGAUGCCGAGUCGAUUGUGGUGAAGUGGAUGAUCCUAUGCUGCCGAGAAAAGCCUCUAGUGAGUGUUGUGGCGGCCCGUACCCUAAACCGACUCAGGUGGUCAGGUAGAGAAUACCAAGGCGAUCGGGUGAACUGUGGUUAAGGAACUCGGCAAAUUGCCCCCGUAACUUCGGGAGAAGGGGGACCUCUGCUGGUGAUGGGCUUUACGUUCUGAGCUGGUGGGGGUCGCAGUGGCCAGGGGGAAGCGACUGUUUACUAAAAACACAGGUCCGUGCGAAGACGUAAGACGAUGUAUACGGACUGACGCCUGCCCGGUGCCGGAACGUUAAGGGGACCGCUUAGCCAGCUUCGGUUGGCGAAGGUGAGAACUUAAGCGCCGGUAAACGGCGGUGGUAACUAUAACCAUCCUAAGGUAGCGAAAUUCCUUGUCGGGUAAGUUCCGACCUGCACGAAUGGCGUAACGACUUCCCCGCUGUCUCAACCACAGACCCGGCGAAAUUGCACUACGAGUAAAGAUGCUCGUUUCGCGCAGCAGGACGGAAAGACCCCGGGACCUUCACUACAGCUUGACAUUGGCGUUUGGAACGUCUUGUGUAGGAUAGGUGGGAGACUGGGAAGCUGUCACGCUAGUGAUGGUGGAGUCAUUGGUGAAAUACCACUCUGGUCGUUUUGAACGUCUAACUCUGGUCCGUGAUCCGGAUCGGGGACAGUGUCUGGUGGGUAGUUUAACUGGGGCGGUUGCCUCCUAAAGAGUAACGGAGGCGCCCAAAGGUUCCCUCAGCCUGGUUGGCAAUCAGGUGUUGAGUGUAAGUGCACAAGGGAGCUUGACUGUGAGACUGACAGGUCGAGCAGGAGCGAAAGCUGGGACUAGUGAUCCGGCAUCGGCGUGUGGAAGCGGUGUCGCUCAACGGCUAAAAGGUACCCCGGGGAUAACAGGCUGAUCUUCCCCAAGAGUCCAUAUCGACGGGAUGGUUUGGCACCUCGAUGUCGGCUCGUCGCAUCCUGGGGCUGGAGUAGGUCCCAAGGGUUGGGCUGUUCGCCCAUUAAAGCGGUACGCGAGCUGGGUUUAGAACGUCGCGAGACAGUUCGGUCCCUAUCCGCUGCGCGCGCAGGAGACUUGAAGGGGGCUGUCCCUAGUACGAGAGGACCGGGACGGACGAACCUCUGGUGUGCCAGUUGUACCGCCAGGUGCACGGCUGGUUGGCUACGUUCGGAAGGGAUAACCGCUGAAAGCAUCUAAGCGGGAAGCUCGCCUUGAGAUGAGGUCUCCCACCCUGUGAGGGGGUAAGGCUCCCGGUAGAUCACCGGGUUGAUAGGCCGGAGGUGGAAGCACGGUAACGUGUGGAGCUGACCGGUACUAAUAGGCCGAGGACUUGACCAC
rnacentral:rRNA from 1 species